UACCAGCACCCCGAGUGGUCGGGACGAUUAUUGGGCCUAAAGCAUCCGUAGCCGGUCCUGCAAGUCUUCCGUUAAAUCCAGCUGCUUAACAGAUGGGCUGCGGGAGAUACUACAGGGCUAGGAGGCGGGAGAGGCAAGCGGUACUUUAUGGGUAGGGGGUAAAAUCCGCUGAUCCAUAGAAGACCACCAGUGGCGAAGGCGGCUUGCCAGAACGCGCUCGACGGUGAGGGAUGAAAGCUGGGGGAGCAAACCGG
rnacentral:rRNA from 1 species